UACGUAGGGUCCGAGCGUUGUCCGGAAUUACUGGGCGUAAAGAGCUCGUAGGUGGUUUGUCGCGUUGUUCGUGAAAACUCACAGCUCAACUGUGGGCGUGCGGGCGAUACGGGCAGACUAGAGUACUGCAGGGGAGACUGGAAUUCCUGGUGUAGCGGUGAAAUGCGUAGAGAUCCGGAGGAACCCCAGAGGCGAAGGCGGCGUCCUGGCUCGCAUCUGACGCUCAGACACGACAGCAUGGGGAGCGAACGGG
rnacentral:rRNA from 1 species